GGCUGCACUUACCAGUGGGCUACCAUGGCCGUGCCUCCUCUGUUGUGGUGUCUGGCACCCCAAUCCGAAGGCCCAUGGGACAGAUGAAACCUGAUGACUCUAAGCCUCCUGUAUAUGGUGCCUGCAAGCUCUUGGACAUGGAGCUGGAAAUGGUAAGUGAGCUUGGUGUUUUAUUACCAUGGGAUCUAUAGACACCCGGCAGGAGAGCCCUCUGGGAUGGCUCCCCGCACCAUGAGCCGCCCACUCCUCUCCUCU
rnacentral:sRNA from 1 species